rnacentral:lncRNA from 1 species
AUGGUUAAAUGUGGAACGUUGGCUUCCUGCAAGAGCUUGGAGUUUCCAGAAACACCGAAACUGCCUCCCCUUGGGCGAUCCAAGAGCCUCGGGGGCAAUAGCUCUGACGCAGUUCAGACUUCACUCCAAGCCACAGAAGCGCAAACAACCUUUCUUUUCAGCCGGGCCUUUGAAGCUCUCUACUCAGCCGGAAAACACUUCGGAGCCAAACAGAAGCGAACACCGACCGACAGCGGCCGGCAGGGGACGGCAGACCCCGGCCUUUUCAGCCGCGGGGGCUGCAGCCCGCGCCCCCAGGUGGGGGUCCCCAGGACCACCAAACCUGUCGCAGGUUUUCUGCUCAGUGGCUCCACCAGCCCAGCUCAUUCCCUUCUCAGGCUGCAGGCUCGGGCUGCAAGGGAGAGGAUUCCAAGGCUGGGAUGGGAGCUGGUGCGGGCGCCUGGCCAAUUGCUGUGGACGAUUUAUGCUUCUGAUAGGAAAACUGGAGAUGCUGGCCAAGUCGGCAGCUGCCUGCAUUCCGGCAAAGUCACGGGGCGGCGGCGGCGGCCUCGCGGCCAGUGCCCGCGCGGCGGGAGCCGGGACCCGCCCGGGGGAAGGAUGCGCGGAGCCAAGGUAGGGGACCCCUCCGCCUCCAAGCUGGGCUCGGGUCUGCCGGCGCGGGGUCUGCCCUCCGGGGGUGGAGGUGGGGAGCUUGUCAGGUCCCUCGGCCCAGCAGCUGGCUCAGCGACGGAACACAACCGGGUAGCUGGGUUGACAAUCUGUGUGAACGUGGAGGAAUGGAAUUUUCAGUGAGUGGGUUUUUCCCUUUCCAGGAGCACUGAUGCUUGGCCCUGGUGCUCCAGACCCUGAAGUCCAGUUUCGGAACUGGCCAGAGUAGGCGAUGUUUCAGAGAAGGGCAGCCGCCUAUGUCUCCCUGUUUUUACAUCCUUUUGCUGAGGGUGUGUGAAGAGACUGUGACGGGCUGGGUGGGAAGAGAUGGACAAAGAGCUCCAAUACCUGUAUUUCCGAGCAGAGACAUUUCACAGCCAGGAAAAACCAAUAUAAUCAGUUCUGCCUUAACAUGCCUACUAUGGGCAUGUCAUUUUCCUGCUACAAAUUUACCUUGUUUUAUGCUAAACCUGUGUUCCUAGAAAGACAUAUUGCUGUCCCUCAAUCGUGUCCAAGUCUUUGUGACUCUAUGGACUUCAGCAUGCCAGGCUUCCCUGUCCUUCACCGUCUUCCAGAGUUUGCUCAAACUAACAUCUGUUGAGUCAAUGAUGCCAUCCAACCAUCUCAUCCUCUGCUGCCCCCUUCUCNNNNNNNNNNNNNNNNNNNNNNNNNNNNNNNNNNNNNNNNNNNNNNNNNNNNNNNNNNNNNNNNNNNNNNNNNNNNGUAUUGGAGCUUCAGCUUUAGCAAUGAAUUCCUUCCAAUGAAUAUUCAGAGUUGGUUUCCUUUAGGAUGGAUUGGUUUGCUCUCCUUGCUGUCUAAGGGACUCUUGAGAGUCUUCUCUAGCACAUUUUGAAAGCAUCAAUUCUUCGGCGCCUAGCCUUCUUUAUGGUCCAACUCUCACAUCCAACAUACAUGACUAC